AUCCAUUUGACGAGUCCCAAAUAGGAUGAAACGCGCAUCUCGGAU
rnacentral:hammerhead_ribozyme from 1 species